rnacentral:rRNA from 1 species
UACGGAGGAGGCAAGCGUUAUCCGGAAUUAUUGGGCUUAAAGCGUCCGUAGGUGGCUAUUCAAGUCUGCGGUCAAAGACUGGGGCUUAACCCUGGAAAGGCCGUGGAAACUGAAGAGCUAGAGUGCAGUAGGGGUAGAGGGAAUUCCCGGUGUAGCGGUGAAAUGCGUAGAGCUCGGGAAGAACAUCGGUGGCGAAAGCGCUCGGCUGGACUGCAACUGACACUCAGGGACGAAAGCUAGGGGAGCGAAUGGG